CAUAGGUACUUGCAUAAUGCUGAUAGAUAGGUAGGUAAGAAAAUUAAUGUCAUAAAUAUGUCAUUUGAGAGUGGAUGACGACAGCAGAAGAGUCGGAGAUCUGUGUAAAAUUUUCAGCGAUGUAAAGUUGUGAAUAUAUGAAUUUUGUCUUUUUUGUAUUUUGGUCUGGAACUUAACUUUGCGGGUAGUUUUUCAGUACCUUCCCGGUACCCCAAAGGGAAUCGGGUUUGUUGACGUACCUGCUAAAUUGCAAGGUCGGAUUUGAAAAUAUUUGAGAAAUGAUUCAGUACUCGUUCAAAAAGAUAUUUAUUCUUUCAUUAGUUUCUUAACCCCGCCGUGUAUUUGUCAGUAAGAAGCCUGGUCAGGGCGGAGAACUCGGCAGGGGAUUAUCCCUUUUAUUAUAAUAGCAAUAGCUGAUGGCAGGUACAGACUUUCAUAUUCGCCUCUUCUUCGUAGAAUUUAAUCACAAUUUUAUGUUAAAUAUUUUUUGCACUCAUGACCUUUUUUGAUAGCUUUCGCGCAUUGCGUCUUGUGAACUUGACUGAAAAAUGUACGACUGGGUAAAUCGAAGCGAAGGUGAUCAAACAAACCAGCAUGCCAAGGAGUCUGUCUGUACCAGAUUUCAUUACAGACAGAGAAAUCAAUGUCCCAAAAUGUGAGUGUAUUGCAGAUAUAUCAGAAUAUGACAAACAUAAAUGCGACAGUUAUUGUCAUAAAUAAAGAAACUUUGGCGUGAAGGCAAGCGACCGUUGUGCUUGUUUGAAACCAAUCUCUUCAAAAAAGGGACAGCCCAGAUACACUAAGGCCAAACGUUUUGAGAAAAUGUUCCCAUAACGAAGAAAUUGAAAACAUAUAUAUAAUAGUGCGACAAAUCAACGAGAUCGCCCUAUAGUUUGGCAGUAAUGUUGAAGGUUAUCAGAAAACGUGAAUUUUAAAAAUAUAAUCCGUCAGCACGAAACGCCCACAAGAGGAAUUGGCUGAUCUCCCUUUAAAAUUAAAAGAAGAUUGUUGUAGAAUCACCUACUUACAAAAAAUAUGUGCAUAUUUUGCAGUGAUCACAUAGCAAAAUGUCAAGCAACAUUUAUCAAGAGAAGAAUCAUUAGAUCAAUCAUCAUCUAACAGCAUAAGUAUACUACACUUUGUACACAUGAUCUUGUGAAGCCUGGGAUGGAAAAGUGGAAAAAUGCUGUUAUAUUUUCACCAGUUGUCUUAAGUUCAUGGGGUGUGAUGAUAUUGUAAAUAAGACAAAGUUUAGAUGAAUUCAACCAAAACAUUGCUGCAAUUUUUAAUGGAUAUUGGUGUAGAUGUUUCUUCGGCGUUGAUUAUUUCAUGCUCUAUUGCACUUGUGGCCGUAAAUCCCAAGGAAGUUACAGGAGUAGAUGACGUUGAAGCGAGUCCUGAAUGUAAGUUUCUGCAACAACAGAGGAUUUCCACCCCCCUAGCUGUUUUAUUGCAAUCAAACCUUGCCCAUGAUUAGCCAUUGCUGUUGCAGCACUUCUACAGAAGCAGUGGCCCGUGAAGUGUUCUGGAUGUGGCAGGCGAUUUUGUGCAGUUACCGUUGUGAUAAGUGAGGAAAAAACGCGAAUCGUUUGUUUUCCUAAGACUGUUGUACUUUUUUACGAUAUCAAUCCACUGUGGGUGAGAUACAACGAAGGUUCUAGGAGUGUUUGUUUUUGUCUCUGGCACAGUAACAACAAUAAUGUCUGUUUUAAAUUCUAGAUCAGACGGUUUCAUGUUGCAGAGCUCCCCCCUUCUGCACAUGCCAGAAAUGCCUAAAACUAAUGCUGCCUGAAAUAAAAUAUUGAUUGUUGUUAUAGUAAUUUGUUUAUUAGU